rnacentral:rRNA from 1 species
CUACGGGCGGCUGCAGUCGGGAAAACUUUACAAUGCACGAAAGUGUGAUAAGGGAAUCCUAAGUGCUUACUUUUGGGUAGGCUUUUGCCAAGUGUAAAAAGCUUGGCGAAUAAGUGAUGGGUAAGACCGGUGCCAGCCGCCGCGGUAACACCGGCGUCACAAGUGGGGAUCAUAUUUAUUGGGUCUAAAGCAUCUGUAGCCGAUUUAGCAAAUUCCUUGUGAAAUUGACAGGCUUAACCUGUCAGCGUGCAAGGGACACUACUAAGUUAGGGACCGGGAGGAGACAGAAGUACGCUUUGGGGAGCGGUAAAAUGCAAUAAUCCUUAGCGGACUACCUGUGGCGAAGGCGUCUGUCUAGAACGGGUCUGACGGUGAGAGAUGAAAGCCAGGGGCGCAAAAGGGAUUAGAUACCCCAGUAGUC